GUUCGACUUUAAGCCGAAAUCAUUAAUGUAAACUACACUCUAAAUAACGAUUACUACCCGUUAUGAUGUAGGUACUACUGAACUCGAAGGUACUGAGAUGCUCAGGAUGGGGAGACGCCGGGAACAGUACAAUCUAUCAGGUUCGAAACCGUCUGUGUGACCGCAUGACGGUAGUUAAAGCUUAAGUAUACUUACCGCAGUAUUGCACGUUGAGCGACUUUAAACUUGGACGGCAGGCUUCUUCGAGUCUUCACUUCGAAGAUUCCGCAAUGCUUGAAGACAAAAGUCUUCGA
rnacentral:misc_RNA from 1 species